CCUACGGGGGACAGCAGUGGGGAAUAUUGGACAAUGGGGGAAACCCUGAUCCAGCGACGCCGCGUGAGUGAAGACGUAUUUCGGUACGUAAAGCUCUAUCAGCAGGAAAGAAAAUGACGGUACCUGACUAAGAAGCCCCGGCUAACUACGUGCCAGCAGCCGACGUAAUUCGUAGGGGGGAAGCGGUAUCCGGAUUUACUGGGUGUGAAGGGGGCGUAGGGGGCAGCGGAAGGCUGGAGUGAAAUGCCGGGGCCCCACCCCGGAACUGCACUGGAAACUGUGAAGCUGGAGUGCAGGAGAGGUAAGCGGAAUUCCUGGUGUAGCGGUGAAAUGCGUAGAUAUCAGGAGGAACACCGGCGGCGAAGGCGGCUUACUGGACUGUUACUGACGUUGAGGCUCGAAGGCGUGGGGAGCAAACAGGAUUAGAUACCCCUGUAGUC
rnacentral:rRNA from 1 species